rnacentral:lncRNA from 1 species
AUGAAUAAAUGGCGAAAACAAUAUAAUUAUAACAUAUAUUUUUAUUUUACUUAUUUUAGGUCUGUGAACCCAAACUUGAUGCUGGGGAUUUAUUUUUGUCAGUGGAGUCAAAUGGUUGAAGCAGAAUUUGCCCGUCUUACAUCUGUUGACCUGAAAGGGUUCCUUUUUGCUGUGCUUGACCAUUAUGGAGAGGUUCGUGGAGCUGUACAAAAUCAAGAGCGGCAUAGGAGGGCUAACUAGGCUCAUAAAAUGCUUCGGAGAUGAUAGCCCUACACAAAGGAAGAGGACAGAGGACCUCAUUUUCUAAAGGAAGAGCCCUCACACACUUUCAAGACUGUGAAGGUUAGCAUUGUUUCUUUUAGUAAAUUUAAUAAUGACAGCACCACAGUGGAUUUUAAAUGAAACAUGUGGCAUCUAUGAAACAACAGAUGCCACAUGAUAACAUGUGUACUUUUUCCUCACCAAAUGUAUUAUUACAAGAUCUUUGACACUGGAUUUGGUCUGGGUUUCAGAGAAACUAACUGGCAAGCUAGCAUUGAUAUUAUUAGUGUCUUGUGUUAUUCAUGUCUUCACCAGGGUCUUUGACAUUUCGCUGCUGUACUGUUCACUUCAGCUUUACAUUUGAUUUCUCACAUUGUAUAGUGUAAUGGCAGAGAUAUUAGGAUAUUUAAGGGGCUGCAGUGGCUGCUACAGCUGUGGGGGGCAAUACUUUGGUGAAAUGUCCUGGACCCUGGAAAAGAGACUGUGUAGACUGGGUAAGCAAUUAAAGGUUACUGGCCGAGAGUCAUUGGGCAGCUGGGUAAAGGUGGAUGUUGAUAUUCAGUGCCAAUUAUGCAACCUGUUCAGCCACAUCUAUAUGCUCUUUUUCAUGCUGUUAAUAUAGGGGGAAAAAUAAACUUUAAUCAAUAAACUGAUUAAAGAAGCAUUGUCUAUGGAGCCACAAUCUGAUCCUGUAGUGUAGCUGCAGUUUGCACAUUUCAUGUAUUCUCAGCCAGAUUUGGUUUAGAGCACAGCCAAUAUUUAGCAUAACUAGAUUUAAAUUCACACACUGGUGAUGGCAAGCUACAUUGUAGCCACAGCCGCCUGGGGCGCACUGACAGAGGCGAGGCUGCCGGACAUUGGCACCACCGGGCCCUCUGGCCACCACCAGUAGGCAACAGGUGAAGUGUCUUGCCCAAGGACACAACGACUGAAACUGUCGGAGCCGGGGCUCGAACCGGCAACCUUCCAAUUAUAAGACGAACUGUCAACUCUUGAGUCGCGAUUCAGUCAUCCACCCAUGUGUGUGAAUGACUGAAUGUGUAAAGCACUUUGGAGUCCUUAGGGGACUAGUAAAGCGCUAUACAAAUACAGGCCAUUUACCAUUUAAAUUGAAAAUUUGUUUGAAUUCUGCAAUUGAAGACAUGCUCAGUUAUUUAUGAACAUGGUCUUUGUUUAAAGCAAGAAAUGGAUUUGUAACAUGGGGGUGCAUAUCUCAUUCUGAAAAACUUUAACAACUAAUAAGUGUUACCCAAGCCAAUCACCAUCAUCCAAAGCAUCAGUAUGGCUCUUCUUUGGAAAGACAUGAAUUCUUAAGCACAAAGAAUGUUGUGUAAUUGUAAUUGUGUAAUUUUUUUUUUUUUUUUGUCUUUGAACCCUUUUAUAGCCGACAGGUAUUG